rnacentral:rRNA from 1 species
GAUGAACGCUGGCGGCGUGCUUAACACAUGCAAGUCGAACGGAAAGGCCCUGCUUUUGUGGGUUGCUCGAGUGGCGAACGGGUGAGUAACACGUGAGUAACCUGCCCUUGACUUUGGGAUAACUUCAGGAAACUGGGGCUAAUACCGGAUAGGAGCUCCUGCUGCAUGGUGGGGGUUGGAAAGUUUCGGCGGUUGGGGAUGGACUCGCGGCUUAUCAGCUUGUUGGUGGGGUAGUGGCUUACCAAGGUUUUGACGGGUAGCCAGCCUGAGAGGGUGACAGGCCACAGAGGGACUGAGGUGCGGCCCAGACUCAUACGGGAGGCAGCAGUGAGGAAUAUAGCACGAUGGGCGGAAUCCUGAAGCAGCAACGCCGCGUGCGAGAUGACGGCCUUCGGGUUGUAAACCACUUUCGCCUGUGACGAAGCGUGAGUGACGGUAAUGAGUAAAGAAGCACCGGCUAACUACGU